rnacentral:rRNA from 1 species
UACAGAGGUCUCAAGCGUUGUUCGGAUUCAUUGGGCGUAAAGGGUGCGUAGGUGGCGCCAUAAGUCAGGUGUGAAAUCUCGGGGCUUAACUCCGAAACUGCAUUCGAUACUGUGGUGCUUGAGGACUGGAGAGGAGACUGGAAUUUACGGUGUAGCAGUGAAAUGCGUAGAGAUCGUAAGGAAGACCAGUGGCGAAGGCGGGUCUCUGGACAGUUCCUGACACUGAGGCACGAAGGCCAGGGGAGCAAACGGG